CAGUCGCCGCGGUAAUACGAAGGGUGCAAGCGUUAAUCGGAAUUACUGGGCGUAAAGCGCGCGUAGGUGGUUCAUUAAGUCGGAUGUGAAAUCCCUGAGCUUAACUUAGGAAUUGCAUUCGAUACUGGGAAGCUAGAGUAUGGGAGAGGAUGGUAGAAUUCCAGGUGUAGCGGUGAAAUGCGUAGAGAUCUGGAGGAAUACCGAUGGCGAAGGCAGCCAUCUGGCCUAAUACUGACGCUGAGGUACGAAAGCAUGGGGAGCAAACAGGAUUAGAUACCCCUGUAGUCCCUGUCUCUUAUAU
rnacentral:rRNA from 1 species